GCCUGGGUGGCUCAGAGGUUGAGUGUCUGCCUUUGGCUCAGGGUAUGAUCUCGGUCGUGGGAUUGAGUCCCACAUCAGGCU
rnacentral:tRNA from 1 species